UCCCUUCUCUUCUUCUCUGAAUUUUUGUGUGGAUAUUUGCCUGGUGUGUGCUGCGUCCCCUGGGUUUGUGAUGGAGUGUGUUCAGUCGCCAUUUAGGAAUUGCACCUGAUCUGCGUGUGUUGAGGGCGCAUUGCUGCGGAUUCGUCGAUUUGGGGGCACAUUUUGCUGCCGCCCCUUCGGCCGGUGCCGCCGUUGUGCUGUAUUUGAUGUUUUUUGGGCGCGUGUGGGCAUGCUGGCCAUGCUCUGUUUGGACGGUGUCCAUCUUUCUGUAUCGAAUCUGGAGGAUUCAGAUUUGUUUCUUACUAUAGAUAGGUAGGGAGAAUUGGAUCUAGGCGCACGUCUUGGCUGUAUUUAUUGGUUAUGUUUUCAGAUCAUAAAUCAAUUUUGUUGAAGGAAGAAACUCCAUUUGCUGCUGAGGACCAAAUCAUACAUAACAGAUCCAUUUACUUGUUGGGAAAAAGUAUAAGAGGAGCAGCUUUACAAACAAUAGGAAGUACACAUGAUACGAAGUAGUGAUCUAACUCCAGGCUUACCAACAUAGAUAUUAUUACAAAAAUAGGGUUAUAGUUAUAGAGCAGUUGACAAAGAAGAUUGCAUGUGGCCUGUGUUUUUUCUUACUAUCAAUCUUGAGAUAUGUUGAUGUUUGCGUCUGAUUGCAUGUCCUGUAUUACACAUGUCAUCGGGCACUGCAACUUCAGACCACACUUUUCUGUUUCUGUUAUAUCUGUCCACGGUUUUCCUUGUUUGGAAGUUGGAUUACAGUCAAAGCCUUUGUUCAGUAUAGAUACUCUCCGUCUAAAAAUAGGUGUCUCACUUUUGUUUAGAUACGGAUGUAUACAGAUAAAGUUGAGACAACUAUUUUUAGACUGAGGGAGUAUUAUUUGUUACCUUUUUCUGGAACUUACAUAUUCAAAGCUGAAUUAACUGAGCCAAGGCACUGACUUCUCAAAUGCAUAUAUGUGUGCCCCAGAUGUCAGAUAAUCGUGGCAGUGAGGAGUAAAUUCAUCUCAUCCUCGAUGUCUUCUCUUAUCUACCCAUAGGUGACUAAUGCUCUGCUUCCUCAAUCUGAUGAAGGCCCUUGAUGAAGGCAUUGUGACGAUGAGCUUUGGACUGAGGUUGGUUGGAGCAGAGAACAUCUCUUUGUGCCUAGAACUAACUUUUAUUGCAGUUGUUUGUAUAGCGAGUUCAUGAGAUGAAUGUUGAGGUUGGUGACCAUUGAUUUAUUAUGAUUAGUUCUCAUCUGAGCAUAGGGAGAGGCAUGUUUUUGCAACAAUUUGUUGUUCAGGUAUUAGGUUAUUCAUUCGGACUGGAUCAAAUCCAGUAGCAAAGACAUACAGCAGUGGAGGUCUAAUCAAAAGAGACUACUUCCAGUUGAUUCAGGAAAAUGAGGAGUCGUGUCGACAUCGGAAGGGGUGGCUCGAUGGAGAUUGAUGUGUGCGCGUCCGAUGGCUAGCGGGCAAGGAGAGACGUUGAUUCCUCAGUUGUGUUCCUUUUUUCUUCCAACUUUUGUUCAUUCUAACCUGCAGUAGUGCGUUUGCGGUGCCCAGUUUACAUUACAUCGGAAGGGGUGGCUCCAGUGAGAUUGAUGAGUGCUCAGCCGAUGGCUAGGGGGGAGGGUGGGAGACCUCGAUUCCUCAAUGUAGGGUUGGUGUUAGGCCAGGAGCACGGCGGCAUGCGACAAUACGACAUAAGAAAGGGCUGUAGGGCGAGGCGAUGUGCACCAGCCCUAUGCGACUGCAAGGAGUCAUGAUGCUGUUCAUCGCACCUUGUGCCUUGCUCGCUCUGCCUCUGGGUGAAGGUUGAGGGAUCAGAUGAAGCCGGCACUGACGGAGGAAGGGUCAUCAGGGCGAGGGGCGAACAAGGACCUGGAGGUGGCACACGCGGUGACAACUGACAUGAGCUGGUGUAUUUCUCGUCUUCUCUGAUGCGAGUUCGCUGAUGCUUCUUGCUAUUUGGUCCAGCUCUCUGUUCAUGUUUGUCUUAGCAGUAUAUUUUCAUGUUUUUAAUGCAUCGACGGAUGAUUAAGAUGUUUGGCACCCAGUCUUGUGUUCUGUUUUCUUUUUGCGCAGAUCUUCUAGAUGUGUUUGACGUGCCCGUGCACUUUUUUGACAUG